AGAUUAAGUUAUUAAGGGCGCACGGUGGAUGCCUUGGCACUAGAAGCCGAUGAAGGACGUUACUAACGACGAUAUGCUUUGGGGAGCUGUAAGUAAGCUUUGAUCCAGAGAUUUCCGAAUGGGGAAACUCAGCAUGAGUUAUGUCAUGUUAUCGAUAUGUGAAUACAUAGCAUAUCAGAAGGCACACCCGGAGAACUGAAACAUCUUAGUACCCGGAGGAAGAGAAAGAAAAUUCGAUUCCCUUAGUAGCGGCGAGCGAAACGGGAAGAGCCCAAACCAACAAGCUUGCUUGUUGGGGUUGUAGGACACUCUAUACGGAGUUACAAAGGACGACAUUAGACGAAUCAUCUGGAAAGAUGAAUCAAAGAAGGUAAUAAUCCUGUAGUCGAAAAUGUUGUCUCUCUUGAGUGGAUCCUGAGUACGACGG
rnacentral:rRNA from 1 species